GGGAAUAUAUGUCAAAUACCUAAAACUUUAACCCAAUUCCUUUGUAUUGAUAUUUCUCAGUCUUUUUAUUGAAUCAUAAGUAAAUUGUAAAAAGGAAAAAGAAAGAGGCCCUGCCUCCGUUAUAAACUUCGUUGAAGCCCUAAUACCAUUAAUUAUUCCUUUUCCUUCUUCAAAGUGAGUUACUAAGUGGAGUUGGUAGAGAGAUAUCAAUAGUUGUUAUUAAUUAAAUUUCAGGUUACUAAGUUGAGUUGGUAGAGAGAUAUCAAUAGUUGUUAGUUUCAAUGUCGAAAUUGUAUGCUGGUUUGAAAUACCGUAAUUCCUCCUCGGAUGCAACUGUUAAAAUUCGUCAAUUAUUAUCACCACAAGAUGCAACUGUUGUAAGUUGUAAAUUCUACCCUGCACAAGGUGGUCCUCCUACUCGUUUACCCUCAUUAGCCAUUAAAUUUGACCUUAAUACUCACCACAAAUAUUGAUCUAGUCCUGAUCAACUUGAACACCAGCACUCUCGUACCAGCUCGACCCGUUUCCAUCUUUGCCAUACUACUCCAUCCACUUCAUAUAGCAAGUCCUUGUUUAAACUAAUGUGAGGGUCUACUGAGAACUGGGGUGAGGAGUUUGAUAAGAAUUACCGUCAUCUUGUUAUUCAUGAUAUGAUUGGUAAAGUUAGUGAAAUUGUUGAUGAUGAGUGUAACAAGGAUAGGAUACGCUUGGAUGUGCACGUUCGUGUUAAUUAGUUGUUCACCAUUCAUCAUCCGUACUAGUACGCAUGGUAAAGAGUAUGGAGGUUGAUGAAAAUGCUGUGAAUGACAACUGUAUGAUUUGCUUGGAAACGCUUGGGAAGGAGAGGGAGUUGAUGUGUAUGCCUUGCUCGCAUUUGUUUCAUGGAGAUUGCGCUACAACUUGGCUAGAGAAUGGCAAUUCUUGCCCUGUUUGCCGUUAUGAUCUCCUAGCUACCUAGCUUCUAUUUUUCUUCUUUCAAAAUAUAAAACGAAGGAAGAAGCAUCUGUUGGGUCCUUCUUUAUUUCUUCUUAGAUUGAUUGAUAUAUUUUAUGCUACAAUUAUCCAUGCUACCGAAUUACAAACUCUUCUGGUUGAAUGUAAAAACCUUAUUUGUCUAUUUAUAUUGAAGCCGCCUGCUAUAUUAACCAAUAGCUUUAUGUUGA